rnacentral:snRNA from 1 species
UUAAGGGACGGAGGGAGUAUGAUAAAAUUGGAACAAUACAAGGAAGAUUAACAUGGCUCCCUCUCAAGGAUGACAACUGACAAGCACAAACUGAGAAAUGAUCUAAAUUGUU